rnacentral:tRNA from 1 species
AGCCUAUUAGCUCAAAUGGUAGAGCAAUGUGCCAUCGCACAUGGAUGUAGGUUCAAAUCCUACAUAGGUUG